rnacentral:tRNA from 1 species
UGCGGGGUGGAGCAGCACGGUAGCUCGUCGGGCUCAUAACCCGAAGGCCAGGGGUUCAAAUCCUCUCCCCGCUACCA